AAAGAGUGAUAACACCAUCCGCAAGAAUAAAGAGAUGGAUAAACUCAGCAGUGCCUGAACUAACAAAAAGGAGUGGAAAGCAGAGGGCCAAACAAGUAAACUUCAUAUUACAGAGGGAAGCAAGAGAAAAAUAAGAGGAAAUUUUCCAGUCAGCCUUGUAUUUGAGUCCCAGAAGACUGAGCUCUACGUUGAUGCUGCCCACACACCCCCACGCUGCUGCUCCAGCUCCUUGUUGACAGAUCUGGGUUGCCACUUCUCUGCACCAGCUGCACAAGGCCCGUUGGUCUUGUUCACGUAAGGACAGCAAACAGCACUUUCACUUUACACAUUCAGCACCUCUGAUCUCAAGGGAGACCUAAGUGUUGAAGUCUGUUCUUAGGGAUUUGUAAAGCCUUCAAAACUGUUUGGGGCAUUUUGGCUUCAGGAGGAGGCCGACCUGCCAUCCCCA
rnacentral:lncRNA from 1 species